rnacentral:rRNA from 1 species
UACAGAGGUCCCAAGCGUUGUUCGGAUUCACUGGGCGUAAAGGGUGCGUAGGUGGUGGGGUAAGUCUGAUGUGAAAUCUUCGAGCUUAACUCGGAAAUGGCAUUGGAUACUACUCUGCUAGAGGUUUGGAGGGGGGACUGGAAUUCUCGGUGUAGCAGUGAAAUGCGUAGAUAUCGAGAGGAACACCAGUGGCGAAGGCGAGUCCCUGGACAACACCUGACACUGAGGCACAAAAGCUAGGGGAGCAAACAGG